rnacentral:lncRNA from 1 species
CUAGCUAACCAACGUUUGUGUUGCAUUAAAGCUGCAGUCGGUGCGGCUAACGGAGCUCUUUGUGAGCAACCACGCCACCGCUACACAACAACCACUGUACACACUACAACACAACAACCACUGUACACACUACAACACAACAACCACUGUACACACUACAACACAACAACCACUGUACACACUACAACACAACAACCACUGUACACACUACAACACAGCAACCACUGUACACACUACAACACAACAACCACUGUACACACUACAACACAACAACCACUGUACACACUACAACACAACAACCACUGUACACACUACAACACAACAACUACCGUACACACUACAACACAACAACCACUGUACACACUACAACACAACAACCACUGUACACACUACAACACAACAACCACACACAGCAACCACUGUACACACUACAACACAACAACCACUGUACACACUACAACACAACAACCACACACAACAACCACUGUACACACUACAACACAACAACCACACACAACAACCACUGUACACACUACAACACAACAACCACUGUACACUCUACAACACAGCAACCACUGUACACACUACAACACAACAACCACUGUACACACUACAACACAACAACCACUGUACACACUACAACACAACAACCACCGUACACACUACAACACAACAACCACUGUACACACUACAACACAACAACUACCAUACACACUACAACACAACAACCACUGUACACACUACAACACAACAACCACUGUACACACUACAACACAACAACCACUGUACACACUACAACACAACAACCACACACAGCAACCACUGUACACACUACAACACAACGACCACUGUACACACUACAACACAACAACCACACACAACAACCACUGUACACACUACAACACAACAACCACCACUGUACACACUACAACACAACAACCACACACAACAACCACUGUACACACUACAACACAACAACCACUGUACACACUACAACACAACAACUACUGUACACACAACACAACAACCACUGUUCACACUACAACACAACCACUAUACACACUACAACACAACAACCACUGUUCACACUACAACACAACAACCACUGUUCACACUACAACACAACAACCACACACAACAACCACUGUACACACUACAACACAACAACCACACACAACAACCACUGUACACACUGCAACACAACCACUAUACACACUACAACACAACAACUACCGUACACACUACAACACAACAACCACACACUACAACACAAAUAUAAAUAGAUAA